rnacentral:lncRNA from 1 species
UGUGGUCCAGAGAACGGAUGAUGGUCAAACGUGGAGUACUUACAGAGACAGGGAGAAGCAAAAACACCAGCAGGACAACCACCUUCUCUCCCUAGCAUAGCCUCAGAGGGGAUCUUCCUGAAACCCUGCCUUCUGCCACCUGCUGAAUAGAUAAUUGUGCAAAUGGCCCCAGGCUGAGAAGCUGACCCAGAUAGCUCCACAAGCAACAGCUGGGCACAAUUGGCUGAUUAGGAAAUUGUCCCAAUGGCGUUGGACAGAGUAGAUAUUUGAAAAGUGGGUUGAUAGAUGACAAAAUUCAAGGGGUUUACACCAUGCCCCCACCUCCAGCAGAUAUCUAUUUAGGUGUAUCUUCCACACCCUUCCAGGCAAAGCUGCUGAGGUUGAUCACCCUAAUCACUCACCUGGAUGCCCAGGUUCCAGGUCUGGCAGCUUCACUGGCCACUAAUCCAGUAGACAACAUUAGGCGAUGCAGGCAGAGGUGGCUGUCAGCUGUCCUUCAAGGAAAUUGAACUGAUAAUUAAUAUGACUCACUGUUGACAGGAAAGACAAAAGAGCUGGGCAGGCCAGGGCAGUCGCAGAAUGAAACCUAGCCAGCAAAUGUCAGCCCCCAAAAGCCCUGCCAGCCAACUUCCCCAAGAUCAAGCCCAAAAGGCAGCCUGUCUGUGUCAGAAAGUGGAACACUCCACGCAGAAGAGCAAAAAUAACAAAAGGAAGCCCUCCAAAGGCGGAAGCCACCUCAAGCCAUGAAUCUAAGAGCAGAUGGGCCCUGAUGACACUAGUUGAGAAAAUUGCCACCAAAUUCCACCUCGUUGCUAAGAACCCAAAGGAUUCUUUGCCACCAAGCCACAGCAGUGGCAAAGACUGCGGGAGGCCAGUGGCAUGUGUGCGUUCAGGCUGAAUGUGAGUGAGCAAGUGAGAAGGUCACAAGGUACGGAGGGCAGCUGUGACCCGCGCCCUGAGAAGAGUGAGGAUGCUUUAUGUGGUGUAGCACCAGGGAGCGAGACCCUCUGCUUCCACCGUUCAUAAACCAGCCUGGUGCUGAAGGCUGUUUCUACAGAGAAGCACUGAGUACCAUUCUGAGCAAGGCCACACUUCUGGAAUCAGCACAUGGCCUCAGACGGGGAGGAAAAGGGACUGGGCACGUGUCCACUGGGAUGUCUGUGCUGGAAUAAUGGUUCAAAAUUCAACUUUACAGCUUCAUCUCCUCACGUAGCUCUGCUUACCUUUAAAAUUAUCCUAUUUUCCUUUCAGAAUCUCUGUGGUGGCUACUCAUUGGGUCCAGAGAGUUCUAGAGGGAAGGAAGGAGGGAUACACCUGGAUCUAAGUGUCCCACCCCAACCUCUGAUAGUUUUUCCCAUUAAUUCCUUGACUCCUUUCCUGCCUAGACAGCCAAACCUGAGAAACCUGGACCUCCUGCCAUUUCCUGAGUCAGACCUCAUUCUGAUGCCAAGGCCUGCCAGCUCUAAUAACAUGGCAGGUGACAGGUGCUUCACAGGCAAGAGCCCCAAAGCCCCCACAUGCAGGAAAUCAGUUAUUUUCACAAUGUGCCUGGUUGAAUUUUAUGCUGCCUUCCCAAGCAUGCCCAUACAUAAAACCCAGCAUCUACACAAGUCAGCAAAACGUAGCGGUUGAAGGAAUAAGCACCAUCAUUUUUACAAUAUAGGAUAAUUGACCAAAACACCUCUGCUUUUCCUUCUGUAGUUUUCUCCAAAAUGGUUCAAUAUUUACGAAAUACCCACCUUGUGGGGAGCAUCAUGCUGAG